rnacentral:misc_RNA from 1 species
AUGGGGAUGGUUUUGUUCUUGUUUUUGCAUUUUCCUCAAGUGCUAGAGCAGUUUUUGAAUCUUCUUCCUUGUUUGCUGGGAUGUUUUUUGCGUCUUCUUCCUCAACUACAGGUGUAACUGAACUUGGUGAAGCAUCAUUUCCUGAAGCUUCCUGCAUUUCUUGUGGUAGGUUAGGCACAGGAAAUAUUUCCUUUGUUGCUGGUGGGCUUGCAGAUGCAGUAAUCUCAGAAGGUAAGGGUGGAGAAACUGGUGAGGGUGGGGAAAUAGAAAGCAUCUUUGCAAUUGGGUAAACUUCAGUGACUUCUUCACUGCCUUCGUCCAAAUAAACAACAUCUUGCAUGGUGAGUUGGUGGUAUUCAACAAUUUCCCUCAGAAACCGGUUCUCACGUGCAAAUAUUGAAUUCUCAUGUGCCAAACGAGCCUUCUCAGCCAAAAGUGUCUCCAGUUGAAGGCGAAUCAAAUCAUCGUCUGCUGGGUUGCCUCCCUUUUCACGACUCUCCCUCAGGAUUUUGUUCUCUUCCUCUAGUUGUGAACAUCUUUGUUUUGCAAAAGCCAGGUCUGCUUUAACUGUCUUCAGUUCCCGAAGAAGAAGUUUUGCUUUUGCAGCAGUUGCCAUUGCAACGUCGCGAGAUGCCUUCAAUUGAUUUUCAUGGUUCAUUUGAUUCUGCGGCUGAUUAGGCUGCAUCAUGGGUUGCUGCCAUGAACUAUUUGCACCAGAAGCUUGAUUUUGUUCCACAAGACUGCUUCCCUUUCUCCUAAUUUGCAGUUUGCGAGUUUCUUGGAUGAUAUCUGCAGUCUUAUUUUCCACAAUAGUGCGACCUUCCUCAAAAGCCUUUUCAAAGGUGUCACCUAUCUGAUUAAGGGAAGAUGUGAUUUUA